rnacentral:rRNA from 1 species
CCUACGGGAUGCUGCAGUGAGGAAUAUUGGUCAAUGGGCGGAAGCCUGAACCAGCCAAGUAGCGUGCAGGAUGACGGCCCUACGGGUUGUAAACUGCUUUUAUACGGGAAUAACGCGCCUUACGUGUAGGGCUUUGCAUGUACCGUAUGAAUAAGGACCGGCUAAUUCCGUGCCAGCAGCCGCGGUAAUACGGAAGGUCCGGGAGUUAUCCGGAUUUAUUGGGUUUACAGGGAGCGUAGGCCGCAGGGCAAGCGUGCUGUGAAAUGUCCGGGCUCAACCCGGGCCUUGCAGCGAGAACUGGCGUGCUUGAGUCCGCGGAAGGCAGGCGGAAUUCGUCGUGUAGCGGUGAAAGGCUUAGAUAUGACGAAGAACCCCGAUUGCGAAGGCAGCUUGCUGCAGCGGAACUGACGCUGAUGCUCGAAAGCGCGGGUAUCGAACAGGAUUAGAUACCCGAGUAGUC